rnacentral:lncRNA from 1 species
UGUUCUGAUCGAUGCUCGACUAGCCAUGCCUGUAACGUUUCACUGCGCAUGCUCCGAUCAUGCCGAUGUGGCCGUUGUCUUCCAGACCUUCCUGAUGUCACCCAGAGUUUAGGAUGAAAUAAUGAAGCUUUUUAUGGUUUUACAGCUGUUUGGUCUUUAUAGUGGAGUCAGUGUGGAGGAAGGAGAUAGACUUAUCAACAAAUGUGAAGUGUGUAAGUUCUUGACGGUGGAGAUGCAGGAGGCGCUGGAGAGGACAGGUCGGUCCAAGGAGGUGCUGGAGUUGGGGGAGGUGCUGGACACGGCAAGAGUAGACGCAAUAUUAAAUAGUACACGUUGUAAGAACAACACACUCAUCAACCAUAAUUAUCCUUAAAUAGCUUUAGAAUGCUUAGGAUUUUAAAGCAUUGCAUCGUGGGUAGUUGAUGAUCUGUGUGUUGAUGUUUAGGGAGACCCGUUUGACUGAGGCCGUGGACAACAUCUGUGAACGCAUCCUGCAGUACAGCGUUCACGCAUAGAGGCCUGGAAGUCUACGCUACGCCAAGGUCAGUCCACCGCCUCAUUGUUACCUUUAAACAAUCCUCCACUGGUUUUACAAGUUUGGCCUAAAACCUUUGAAAUGUAAUUAUUAGAAGAUCUAUGCCUAACCAAACAUUAUUUGUUUAAUUAUUGUUUUUUUUAUUUGGCUUUCAUAAAUAAUUAUGCAUAUUUACAGAUAUUGUACAUGAUAUGAGUGAUAACACGUGUUGUAAAGGCUAUUUUACACAAUAGGUGUGGCUACAGAUUUAUACUUGUUCGUUGGUGUACCAUGGGCACUAAAAGUCUGGGAACCACUGAUCUACACAACUAAAAAGUACAAACAUGUAGAGGCAGCUCAGUGGGAGCACUAAACAGAAACUAAAAAGAGAAGGAGAUCAGAAACACAGAACAUAUAAAGAAGCAUAAACUGAAUAUAGGUCAUUUUUUCACUCCAGUGUAUUUUGCCAGAUCAGCAUUUCUUUGAGAGAAAUUGUCAGGUUUCCAGAUGUUUAUGUUUUGCCAGAUUAAACUGAUGCUGAUGUGUUUUAUUUUCAUAGCAUCAUAUGUGAGUGAGGGGCU